rfam:Gossypium raimondii Chr07_contig_776, whole genome shotgun sequence.
AAUUCGUGGUGCGGGCAUUUUUUAAUCAACAUUUUGAACCGUUCCCAUACCUCAUAAAAACUUUCUACCUCCAUCUAUUGAAUAACAACAAUCUCCUUUCUUAAUU